rnacentral:rRNA from 1 species
UACGAAGGGGGCUAGCGUUGCUCGGAAUUACUGGGCGUAAAGCGCACGUAGGCGGCUUCUUAAGUCGGUGGUGAAAUCCUGGAGCUCAACUCCAGAACUGCCUCGAUACUGGGAAGCUCGAGUCCGGGGAGAGGUGAGUGGAACUGCGAGUGUAGAGGUGAAAUUCGUAGAUAUUCGCAAGAACACCAGUGGCGAAAGGCGGCUCACUGGCCCGAUACUGACGCUGAUUGCAACGAAAAGCGUGGGGGAGCAAAACAGGG